UAGACCGCCUGGGGAGUACGGCCGCAAGGUUAAAACUCAAAUGAAUUGACGGGGGCCCGCACAAGCGGUGGAGCAUGUGGUUUAAUUCGAUGCAACGCGAAGAACCUUACCUGGUCUUGACAUCCACAGAACUUUCCAGAGAUGGACUGGUGCCUUCGGGAACUGUGAGACAGGUGCUGCAUGGCUGUCGUCAGCUCGUGUUGUGAAAUGUUGGGUUAAGUCCCGCAACGAGCGCAACCCUUAUCCUUUGUUGCCAGCGGUCCGGCCGGGAACUCAAAGGAGACUGCCAGUGAUAAACUGGAGGAAGGUGGGGAUGACGUCAAGUCAUCAUGGCCCUUACGACCAGGGCUACACACGUGCUACAAUGGCGCAUACAAAGAGAAGCGACCUCGC
rnacentral:rRNA from 2 species